rnacentral:lncRNA from 1 species
CAUCCAUCCUGAAAGUUAGUGUCAGUAUACGUGCAUUUGCAGAGGCAGUCGUGUAAGCGUCAAACAUUAGCUUUUCAGAGAAUUGAGCAAAUAGGACGACAUUGAAAUUCUGAUGUUCUAUAGGCUUAUGUUUUUUCCACGAUAACUAGUUCGGUCAAAUUACCUUAUAAAUCAUGAAAUCUAGUGUCAGUAUACGUGCAUUUGCAGAGGUAGUCAUGUAAGCAUCGAAAAUCAGCUUUUUAUGGAAUUGAGCAAAUAGGAGGGUACUGAAUUUCUAACGGGCUGAUAUAUUUUUAACAAUAACUAAUUUGGCCAAGUUCGUUUAUCAAUCAUGAAAUUUAGUGUCAGUACAUAGGGAUUCGCAAAGGUAGUCGUGUAAGCGUCGAACGUUUAGCUUUUCAGAGGGUUGAGCAAAUUGGAGGGCACUGAAAAUCUUAUGGGCAAUAGGCUUAUAUUUUUUCCAUGAGAACUAUUUGCUCAAAUUCCUGUAUCAAUCGUGAAAGUAAGUUUCAGUUCAUGUGCAUAUGCAGAGGUAGUCCCAUAAGCGUCGAACAUUAGCUUUUCAGAGGAUUCAGAAAAUAGGUAAGCACUUAAUUUCUGACGGGCGAUAGGCUGAGAUAUUUUCCACGAUAACUAAAUUUGUCAGAUUCGCUUAUAAAUCAUGACAGUUAGUGUCAGUACUUGUGCAUUUGCAGAGGCAGUCACGUAAGCAUCGAACAUUAGCUCUUCAUAGAAUUGAGCAAAUAGGAGGGCACUGAAUUUCUAACGGGUGUCAGGCUGAUAUAUUUUCCACGAUAACUGAAUUGGUCAGAUUCGCUUAUAAAUCAUGACAGUUAGUGUCAGUACAUGUGCAUUUGCAGAAGUAGUCGUGUAAGCGUCGAACAUUAGCUUUUCAGAGAAUUGAGCAAUUAGGAGGGCCCUGAAUUACUAACCUGCUAUAGGUUGAUUUAAUUUCCACGAUAACUAAUUUGGUCAAAUUCGUUUAUCAAGCAUGAAAGUUAGUGUCAGUAUGCGUGCUAUCGCAAUAAUAAGAAAACUGGCGGAGCCUGAGAACGACGUGAAGUUUUAUGCUGACCACAUUAGUAACCCAGUGUCUCUUAUCAGUAUAUUUUUUUGGCCGUUCGUCUCACACACGCACGUCGUGCUUUGUUUUGUUUUCUGUCGUCCAUCGCUGUGGAGAACGGCUUGCACGAGAUGGACCUGGUCGUGUCCUGCUCCAAUCCUUGGGACAGGGACGACGCCGGCUUUCGCGCAUGCCCACCAGGUCAAGCAUGGGAGGCAUCACCUGGCGCAGCUAUGAGUCGGAGCAGCAAGGUCUACCUGGAUGCUGCAGCAGCGAGGUGAACAGCAUCCACUGCAACAUACUCAUGUCAGGCCACAGAUGUCAGUUCUGAGCAACUUCCUGAGUGGCGUGCUCACCAGAAGUGGUGAUGAUGGCGAGGAUAUCCCCCCCCGCGGACUUCGAAUGGCAGUCCCUCGUCGAGGAGCAACUUGGCGCGCGGACCACCGAACAGUCGCUGACCCAGGCUGGAGAGAUUCAGCUCGGACGUCAAGUCUCGAACCUGCCUCAGAAUGGCCAUAUUUAUCGUCGCGAAGACGUGGUCAUUGGCUCUAUUGCCGAGUAUUCCGACAAACGCGUGGUUACGCACACACACAAA